GACGAACGCUGGCGGCGUGCUUAACACAUGCAAGUCGAACGGAAAGGCCCUGCUUUUGUGGGGUGCUCGAGUGGCGAACGGGUGAGUAACACGUGAGUAACCUGCCCUUGACUUUGGGAUAACUUCAGGAAACUGGGGCUAAUACCGGAUAGGAGCUCCUGCUGCAUGGUGGGGGUUGGAAAGUUUCGGCGGUUGGGGAUGGACUCGCGGCUUAUCAGCCUGUUGGUGGGGUAGUGGCUUACCAAGGCUUUGACGGGUAGCCGGCCUGAGAGGGUGACCGGCCACAAUGGGACUGAGGUACGGCGCAGACGCCUACGGGAGGCAGCAGUGGAGAAUAUUGCACAGUGGGCGGAAGCCUGAUGCAGCAACGCCGCGUGCGGGAUGACGGCCUUCGGGUUGUAAACCGCUUUCGCCUGUGACGAAGCGGGAGUGACGGUAAUGGGUAAAGAAGCACCGGCUAACUACGUG
rnacentral:rRNA from 1 species